rnacentral:sRNA from 12 species
AUCGAAGUAUUACAUUAGCAAGUAAUACAUAUAGCCGCCAUGGCAUAGCAAGAUGUAGCUGGAGUACAGGAUGACCGACCCAUAAGCUUGCUUAUAAGUCCCACAG